GAGUUCCGGGGCUGUGCAAGAUUCGGGCGCCGCCGGGAUGCGCUCUGUGGCCGAGGGCUGGUCUUCAGGACUGACAGGGGAGAGCCCGAGUGAACUCACACGGCCUGGAGGACCAAGAGGGCCCAUCAGAGGGAGAAGUCAACCACCUGCACACAAGACAUACUACUGGUUAAGCAGUGGAAAAGGAGAGGAAAUAAGUCCUAAAUCCAGGCAGAACGUGACCAACUGUGCUGACCCGAAAUACCUCACAAGUUAGAAAGUGACGCCAAGGAAAAAUUUUCUAUGCUUCUUUUAGCUUUUAAAGUGAUAGAAGCUGGCAGAAACACGCCCCUUACAAGAAGAUGCAUAGUCUAAAAACGGUGAGACUCAGCUUUAAAAAUAUGCUUUGCGGCUCUUCCAAAGACCAUCUCCCAAACGCCAGUUCUGGUCUAUUAAAGGAGACGGUUCUCACAGGAGAGCCCUUACUAAUUUUUCUAGUAAACAUACCCUAAGAGGAUUCAUGGAGAUGAAUCAAAGCAAGUCCCCGGUCCUACUUCUGAAACGAAGUCCUCUGUCCACGUCCUUAGCAGAGCAAGAGCAGAGCAGAGGUCCUUGACUCCCUGCACCACCCCACACGCGCCUGUCACCGAGCCCCCGACCUCAGCCUCACCAGGUCCUCCCUGCCUCCCCCAUCCCUCUCGCACAGGUGCGCUUUGGGUGUCACUCCUACCUGGACUCCGGCCACGGCCAGGAUCCUCGCCAAGCCCUUUCCUCCCUUCCCACCGGUCCGGGUCGCAGCAGUGACAUUGGUGCUUUCCGCACACAAACCUGAGUCUCCCCCCUGCCCUCCCCUCCAGGCCUCCCGCUCACCUGAAGGAGGAAGGCCCCCGCAAGUGAGCUCCUGCUUCACUGAUGGGCCCCUGCCUACUUGUAAAUGCCCUGAACUUCCACACUGCUGGUCACUACCCUGCAUCCGCUUACGCAGCCCCUUCCGUCACAGGGUUCACUUCUACGCAUCCCCGACAUCUCGGCCCUAGAACGAACCCCAAGCCCGGGCAUGGGCCCUGCUCGUGGUCCCUCCUCACUGCACCCAAAAAUGGCUGCACCGACCGCACUGCCUCAUCACCUGCUCAGGUGCCCUGACCUCACUCCAUCACCUUAUCACCUGGCAGAAAGGAACUUAAUACGGGCUCGCAGAAUGAAGGAGAAAUGCUGAAGUCAUUCAUUUUAUGCCAAUGGUAUGUUGUUCAAAAUGCCCGCCACGUCAUCGACCCGGCAGCAUUUCCACCUCCUGUGCAGGAGACGGGCCUGGGGCUGUCCCGGAAGACGCUCUCCAAGAAGCUCGGCAGACACGCACCUGAGGGAUUGCUCCCAAGAGCUCCUCCACACUACUGUAGCCGUAGGUCUUGGGUUGCAGUGUUUCUCCGACAUACUUGGUAUAGGCCACGGAAAACUCAUGGAGAAAAAGCUGCUGGUAGUGGUAAGUAUGGAGUAGAGACCGCACGUUCUUGGCAAACAAAUACAGGCUUGUGAGCUUCA